CACGGAGGGUGCAAGCGUUGUUCGGAAUCACUGGGCGUAAAGGACGCGUAGGCGGUCCGGUCAGUCGGAAGUGAAAUCCAUCGGCUCAACCGAUGAACGGCUUCCGAUACUACCGGACUUGAGUACGGGAGAGGAAAGCGGAAUUCCCAGUGUAGAGGUGAAAUUCGUAGAUAUUGGGAAGAACACCGGUGGCGAAGGCGGCUUUCUGGACCGAUACUGACGCUGAGGCGUGAAAGCGUGGGGAGCAAACAGG
rnacentral:rRNA from 1 species